UACGGAGGGUGCUAGCGUUGUUCGGAAUUACUGGGCGUAAAGCGCACGUAGGCGGAUAGUUAAGUCGGGGGUGAAAUCCCGGGGCUCAACCCCGGAACUGCCUUCGAUACUGGCUGUCUGGAGGUCGAGAGAGGUGAGUGGAAUUCCGAGUGUAGAGGUGAAAUUCGUAGAUAUUCGGAGGAACACCAGUGGCGAAGGCGGCUCACUGGCUCGAUACUGACGCUGAGGUGCGAAAGCGUGGGGAGCAAACAGG
rnacentral:rRNA from 1 species